rnacentral:lncRNA from 1 species
GGAGGAGCGGCCUGGCUUUGUCUGAGUCAGGCAGCCCAGCGUGUGGGAUGCCAGGCUGGAUGUGCUGGGCCUGACCAGCCGCCCGCUUUCCUCUUCUCUUGCCUCUGCCUGCCCCCUGGUGGACAGCUGGGGUAAAGCAUGGGAGUGCGCCUUUGGGGUCUCAGUGGGGCUGAAAUACGACUCCUCCCCUAGGACAGCCUGCCUUCCCCAGCCUUGUUCUCCGGCAAAGUCAAUUUCCUGGAGAAUCGAGGCUCUGCCUCAGAUGUUCGGAGCCUCCGCAGGAUGAACACCUCCAUUUCAAUUCCAGGGGCUUUGAUCAACCUGUGCCUCCCUUGAUCCCCAACUUGUGGGCACCUUCCCUUGAGCAGUGCCCCCACGAGGUACACCUUUCCCGGGAAACAAAAAUCAUUCCUUCUUUGGGUCCUGCAAGCUGUAAAGAACCAAUACAGCACUGUGCUACUGAACAUGUUGCCACUAUAGAAGCCCCUUGUGUUUUGAAGAGUACAUCUCUAUAGCCAUUCGUUUAUUCAUCAGAAACCAGCUAGAAGCCAGGCCCUGUGCUGGGCGCUGGAGACAUGGAAGAAACUGGGCUGAGGCUCCCGCCUUGAAGAGCUUGUGGCCCAGGGAAGGGACAGUUCAUCUGUCAUUGAUUGCCACGUGACAGUGUCUAUGAUGCUAAAAAGAUGCCAGUGCUGUGCUGCAGGAGCAAAGGCCGUGGAGGAAGAGGCUUUGGCUUUGUUGCGAGUCCUUGCCAGAGCCAGGCAAAGCCAGUCACCGCUUUGUUCAGAUGACUCAGUGUCUCCUUUUCCAGACUUCUUAGAGGACUUGGAAAGAAAAUGAAAUGACGUUGAACGAAAUCAAAGUAAAUUGAGUGAUCUGAAACGAUUUGAUGUCAGCAAGAAUUCCCCAUACAGCUCACAGCCCUACCCCGAGCACGCCUCCCUCUUGGCUCUCUGCAGGCCCAAACCUUGCAGAAGCCAUUCCAUGUUUCCUGAGCAGGAAAAGACAAACUCAGACCGACAACCUUGGACUUCAAAAGACUGCACACAAGGGGAGGAAGGACUGAGAGUACCAAGGCGUGAGAAUUCAGAAUGCUGCUAUCUCAUUUAUUUUUACCAUUUAGGAAACGUUUUGAUCUGCAUUCCUUUUCCCUUCCCUGAUUUCAAAAAAUAAAAAUAAAAAUGCUUCGGUUCUGAGGA